rnacentral:lncRNA from 1 species
AUAUCAUCUCUUGGGCAACAGAACCACUAACUCUGGGCAUGUUCUCAUGAUCUCAUCAAUGGAACAUCCUUUGAGAUGAAUCUAAAGAAUGGAUCAGAGUUGGGACAGCAAACUGUAGAGUACAUGGCUACUGACAACAGAGCACAUAGCUGACGCUGCAAGAAAUUGGAGGUUCAUUACAAGAUAACCCAUUCAUCCGCUUACACAUAGCUACUGACGGGGAAAUUAUAUGCUUAGUGGAAAAAGCCAACAACAGAAUGAAAAACAAGCACCACUGCACAAAAACGACUACUAUAUAGCGAUGACCAUUGUAGCUUUCAAUUUAUUUUUGAUGAGUGGCCUCGUACCCCAAGCAUACUCAACCAUAUAUUGUCAUUGCGCCACAUCACCGGGGAUCACUCUUCCUGCAAGUGUAAAUUUGUCAGUGUAAUUCCAAAAAGGAGAUGACAUGAUAUUAUAUAAAUUGCCAAUUAGUAAGCAUAAUUAGUUGUAAUUCCAUAGCACUCAAAGUUUGCUCGGGCACAUUUCAAAUAUGACUUUCAAUCCGAUUAGGCAUUCAAUGUUUUGUUUGUUCCACUAACUAUAGAGUUGUUCCUGAAUCACAAAUAAGAGAACAUAUAGAUACAAAUAUACCUUAUGGAUUGUAGAAACUCAUGUACGAAAUCAGACCACAAAGCUUUUCUCUCUUCUGUAGCUUCUUCCACCGUAAUGUCUUGAGACUAAUCUCGUAGAUGUCAAGGCCCAUGGUUACAAAAAUGAUAUCAUUGCCCUCCACAGAUCCAAUCAAUCUAAAUCUUUUAUUGGGAUUUUGAAUAGGGAGAUGGUUAUUAAGAUCGAUGACUGUACGCUGAGUCCAUGACCCAAUUCCGUCCGAAUCUCCCUGUCUUGACCACAAGUGGAGAGUUACCUUGUGCACAUGUGCAAACCCCAAACUGUUAUUAAGAUCAUCUUCCUUGUACAUGAGCUUGAUGUAAACUGCGUCUUCCACGAAGACUGGGGCCAUUUCGUCCCAGAGUGGAAUGGGCUCAAGAUGAAGACCAGAGCACGGCUUGCUCCAAUCACCCGCCCCCGGCAAGGACACACACGCGCGCACAAGACGUUCAUCUUCCAUCCUGUCCACAGCGAUGAAGACCACCUUGAAGGGGCCUGCGUGGCACGCACGGUGGUCACAGCCGGCGACGGCGCAGAGCACCGCUGCCCCAUAGCUGGUGCCCAACUGGUCAGGUGGGUCCAGCUCCCUCCGGCAGCCAGUCAUGGGGUCCCAAACGACGAGCGCAACGGGUUCGUAAUCCAUAUCCCCGAGGAGAACGCGGCCAUGGCGGCAGUCCCACGCAGCGUAGCGGAAGUACCCCCAGUCGUCGUCGGGAAUGCGCCCAGGGAAUUUGGUGGUGGGGAAGAAGUGCGGGAUGUUAUCCUCCACCUCAUGGACGGAGUUGGGGCGCCAGGAACAAAGGAAGCCCAGCACUGGGGGAGCUCCAUGGAAGUCGCGGAAGCGAGGGUCGGAGAGGAGGGCGAGCCAGACCUUGCUGACGAGGGAGGCGCGCGCGAGGUGCUCGGGCUCGUCCGGGGGGAGGCGGAAGAAGACCUCCUCGAGGAGCUCGUCCGGCAGCGGCAUGGUGGGUGGAUGCGGCGAGAGAUUCAGCGGCAUGGCAAAUUUUUUUAAAAAGAAAUACAAUGCGAAAAGUCAUUGUAAUUUCAGUAUCCUGAUUUUUUCUUCAGUUUUAUUGAGGCAGUAUGACGGUACUACUUGUAGUUUCAGUUAAUGUUGCCCAAAAGACAACAACACAAUUGUUUGUUUUAGAAAAGGGUAACCUUGUGAUUUCAAACAAAAUCUAGAAAUACAAAUAUUUUUUAAAGGUUUCUCUUUUAUUAAACAUUUUAACAUUCAUGUACCCUUUGGAAAUUUAGUCUGCCUAGUUAUGAAAUUUGUUUUCUUCGAAUUUUUGUCAACUGAGCUAAAUUUUCCAAAAUAAUAAUCAAAAAACUCCUUUUAGAUUUCAUUGCCUUUCAUUAUAAAAAAAAUGCUUUUCAUGGAAGGCUGAGCAGUGAAUAUCCAGCGGGUGAUAAACACACACACACACACAAUUCAUUAUCACCAGACUAAAGGAUGGUAAUGGGGAUUGGGUGGAGGAGAAAAAGAGAUAUGGCAGCUUGCAACGAAUCUUUUGAAGGAUUUGUAUGCAAGAGAUGAAGGGGUCAUGUCUACUGAUUUACUUGAUAUUUUAAGGUGAAAGUGAAUUAGGUGUGCAAUCCGAGGCGGUAUUUUUCAAUUUCCGGUUCCAAGGGUUCUCUAGAGCAACGACAACCUAUUAAGGCCUAGUAGUCAGUGUUAUAUACCAGGCGGUGAAACCCUACUUUAUUCUCACAUAUCUUGCGAUCUGAGAAGGUAUUUCGCAAUUUCUGGUUCCAAGGAUUCUCUAGGCCAAUCCAUCUCCAAACACUGACAACCUAUUAAGGUCUAGUAGUCAGUGUUAUAUACCAACUGGCGAAACCCUACUUUAUUCUCUAUGUCAUCCUCCAUCACCCAUCAAAGCUUUCUUAUGAUACAAAACAUGAUUGAUAAUAACAAUUUCUUUCAAAAAGGAAAAAAGAAAUAAUAGAAAUGGAAAACAAAAAGAAUUAAAAUGCACAGUGCUCUAGAAAUACAAUGGACUUUUCUAAAAUAUAAUAGAUUUAUUUUCUACAUUUUUUUCAAAAAUCUCAUAAAACAUAUUUAUGGUGCAGGUUAUCCAACAUCUUAUAUUUUUCUUAAAUAGUUUGAUCUGAAAAAUCAUAUUGUUUAAAAAACAUGAUUUAAUAUGCCAAAUAAAUCGAUGCUAAAUAUGUGGUUUGCUUCAAUAUCUUGAUUUAUGCCAAAUAAACCGAAUUUUUCAAAUGGGUCUUGAACCUAUUUUAUUCUUCCGAUUGUCCACUCCAUGUCAUCAAAAAAUCACUUUUAGUGCAAUAAAUGGUUAAUUCUAAAUAUGAUUUUCACACUUGAGCGAUGACCCAACAAAUAUAAAAUUAAGGGAUCAAAUUUUUUAUUUUGCGGGAAGGGAUCAAACUUUGACUCGUGUAGUAAAUUUCAAACUUGCAUUACUUGAUGUGGUUAUAAGCUAUUUUCUCCAUGCAUGCAGCAUAAACAACACUAUAAAACCUAACCUUGAAGUUACAUCACAUAUAUCAGGUGGGUAUAUUACCUUGGUAAUGUAAUAUAUGUAGCAUAUUUUGAAAAUUUCUGCGCAUAUGGAAAACAUGUUAUGAAACUUAACCUUAAGGCAAAGGAUAACACAUCAACAUGAUAACAUCAUCCGAGUGUGCCAUUUUAGCUCAUGUGUUCCUUGGAUCCCGGUAUUUUUGAAAUAUGAAAUUUAUAUUUGGAAGUUUCCAAUAAUUCUAAAUUAAUUUUCCAUCUAUACAUUACAAUGAUUAUUGUUAAAUAAUACACUAAUUUAUAGAUUACACGACACAUCUAAAUUUGUAGAUCCAUAGCAGCAAAUAGAAGAUAUAUUUUCAAUCCACCAUAUUCAUCUAUCUUUAGCCCAGUAACAGAAAAAUAGUAGAGUCAUUUAUAAUCCACAUAUGUAUCUUGUGUAACCCACAGACAGACAGAAACAUUAAUGAAAAUGUACACAUACAUAGUUUAAAUCCAUAUGUACAUAUAUACAAAACAAUUCAAAAAAAUCAUUUGAAAAAUAAAGUUUUUGAAAUAUCAGGUCUGGUGGAGCCCAGAAUCUAUUGUUCCAUGUACCCCAUGAUACUCAAUAUAAUAGACAUGGUUCAAAUCACAAAAAACGACAAUCAUCACCAUGCCCUGAAAUUUUGUUUUGUGUACAACCAAUCUACUACCGCAUCUCUGCUGGUAAGGAUUUACUAAUUGAGAGAAUUCUACCAACCAACUUUAAUAUUGUCCAGAUAAAGCAAAUGACAUAUAUUCUAGCAUAGGAACUGCAUUCGUUGUCUCAAAAUUGUUGAAUCAAGUUUUGCUGCAUUUGGUCUGUCACCUCUUUGUCUCAGCUGCCGUCACACAAGCCUCUCGUGAUGCCUGAUCGUCGGUGAGAACCUUGGCGCAGGCAUCCAACACCAGAGGGAUAUAUUUUCAUUGCUUUCUCCAGUUCCUGGUGCACGAGGAUCCUAUGGCACACGAUGGUUCAACGGACAAAAUAUCACCUGAUGGUAUGUCCACGUGUCACAAAUCUAAACCACCAGUGGCAAUUGGUAAAAUAGAUUUUUGCACAAUUAUGGGGAUCUCAUAUUGAAGAGCUGUGACGGGUUCUCCAAAAGUGUUUCACUGUCAGAGGCCAGAGACAUUCUCCCAGUCUUCCUAUUCUUGUUUCACUGCUGCAUGUGCUAUAUCCUAAAAUGAACAAAUGCUGUAAGAACAGAUUUUUUUUUUAGCACAAGCUGUAAGAACAGAUGGUAAAGGUCAAAACUGGUAGGAGGGGAAGUAUGGGUGAAUUUAUUCUACGAAACUGAUAAGAUGAGCAAAAGUGAAUACCUUCUCCAUUUCUGUAAGAUCAUCAACCGAAACAAACUUCUCCGAUAUUAAACAUCUGGCGUCUCCAACAGCAGUGAACACAACAGCACUUUUGCUUGGGCUGCCAGAUAGAAAAUAUGCACCUUGUCUUUGUGAAUACAUGUUUUUUUAGCAUGCUUGGCAGUAACCUCCCUCAUCUUAGUUGACAUGUCAGUGCCCAGUAUAUGCACAAUUUUAACAUUAGAGUUGAUUGCAAAAUCCACACAUUUUGCUAAACCACCACUUUCAUCUGCAACAACAUGCCACACCUCAUUUACAUUCAAAUGAGGAACUCCUACAUAUAUAUGCAGUUUGCUGGCUUCAGUUAUUUUUUCUAAUUUACAGGAUUUACAAAAUAAUGCUGUCAGACACGUUUAAUAAAAAUAUAGCAAUGAUCAUUGUGCCCUUGCAAUCUCUGACCAAACAUUAAUUUAUUCCAAAUUCAAACAUAUUUAACAUCUAUGAACAAAGUGCUCAGCCUGAGCAACAAUGGCCAUUGCACAGCACUGUGAGCUGAAGUGAACUAGUACAAUAAGCAGAGGGGGAUAAUAGACAGUUUCAAAGAGUUUAGCAAAAUUAUGCACCACGCCAUUCAUAUUUCUAGAGAUGCGAUAUAUCAUCAAUCGUAGAUCAUUAUAAGCAUGGAAGAAAUCUGCAUCUGGUCGAAUUUUGCAGUGCCUUGGAUUGGAACAGAGGUUACCUGAAGCCGCAGCUGCAGCUGCAGCUAAUGUUUGAUUAUCUGUUAGGAGCUGAUCUGCUGAAUCUGGAUUAGUUCUGCAAACACAGUUGGACAGAGAAGACAUUUUGCUUCUGCAUUAAGAGGAGGGCUGACAGCAGCACAACUUGCCACAAUCAUGAUGCUGGUCCUAUGAUCAUCCUGUUCUCAGCAAAUACAAAUAUACCUUGUGGAUUGUAGAAACUCAUGUACGGAAUCAGACCACAAAGCUUUUCUCUCUUCUGUAGCUUCUUCCACCGUAAUGUCUUGAGAUUAAUCUCAUAGAUGUCAAGGCCCAUGGUCACAAAAAUGAUAUCUGUGCCCUCCAGAGAUCCAAUCAAUCUAAAUCUUUUAUUGGGAUUUUGAAUGGGGAGAUGGUUAUUAAGAUCGAUGACUGUACGCUGAGUCCAUGACCCAAUUCCAUCGGAACCUCCCUGUCUUGACCACAAGUGGAGGGUUACCUUGUCCACAUGUGCAAACCCCAAACUGUUAUCAUCCAUCGCCAUGAGGAUAGCGGCAUUGACAAGGAUAGACCCGGCAAACGGUGCAUCAAUCAGUGAUAAGCAGUUAGAUCCCAAGUCAUACUUGAGAAUUGCCAUGUGAUCAUCUCCGAAAUAGUCGAGCUUGAAGUACAGUGCAUCUUCGACGGAGACAGGAGACAUUCCGUCCCAAAAUGUAGACCCAAGAUGAAGAGCAGAGCACGGCUCGCUCCACUUAUUAAAACAAAAAUCAGAGCAGGGCUUGCUCCAACCUCCCGCCACCGGCAAGGACACACAAGCGCGCACAAGACAUCCAUCUUCCAUCAUGUCCACACCGAUGAAGACCACCUGGAAGGGGCCUGCGUGGCACGCACGGUGGUCACAGCCGGCAACGGGGCAGAGCACCGCUGCCCCAUAGCUUCUGCCCAAGUGGUCAGGUGGGUCCAGCUCCCUCCGGCAGCCCGUCAUGGGGUCCCAAACGACGAGCGAAAGGGGGCCGCAAGAGUCAUCGCCGAGGAGAACGCGGCCGCAGUGUACCUCCAUCCCCCCCAGUCGUCGUCGGGAAUGCGCACAGGGAAUUUCGUGGUGGGGAAGAAGUGUGGGAUGUUAUCUUCUACCUCAUGGACGGAGUUCGAGCGCCGGGAACAAAGGAAGCCCAGCAUUGGGGGAGCUCCGUGGAAGUUGCGGUAGCGAGCACGGAAGCGAGAGUCGGAGAGGAGGGAGAGCCAGACCUUGCUGACGAGGGAGGCGCGCGCGAGGUGCUCGGGCUCGUCCGGCGGGAGGCGGAAGAAGACCUCCUCGAGGAGCUCGUCCGGCAGCGCCGGCGGCGGCGGCGGCGGCAUGGUGGGCGGAUGCUGCGAGGGUUUCGGAUGGGGAAAUUUUGGAGUGAAAGAGGAAAUUUUUGGUCUUGUGUGCUGGGCCGGGUUUUCUUUCCUCUACUUUGGCCUCUUUCAAAUUUUGACAUUUCAUGAUAGUGGCACUAUACACGAUUCUUUCAAAUUCAAUUUUUUCUUCGAGAAAAUUUUUCCUAUCUAUUCAUCAACUGUGAAGGUAGUACAAAAAAUAUCAUCAGUAAAAAAUACAUCCAGGUUCGUAGACCACCUAGCAACAACUACAAGCACUGAAGCGAGUCAAAGACGCACCGUCGUUAUCGUCCCUCCCCAUCGAAGCCAGGCAAACCUUGUGGUAGUAGACAGUUGAGAAGUCGACGUGCUAAGGUCCAUAGGACCAAUGCACCAGAGCAGCAACAGCCACCGAUGAAGAGAAAUGUAGAUUAGAAGGAUCUAACCUAUAGACACACGAAGACAUGAUCCACCUGGAUCAAUCGAAAACAAACACCGACUGAAUCCCACGUGAUCUGCCAGAGACAAACCUCCACACGCCUUCCGACGAGGCUAAAACAUCACCCUCUAAGCAGAACACAAACCCUAACAAAACUCAAAAAAGCAUGAAAAAACGAAGCCCUCCCACCGGCAAGGGACAAGAUCCACUGCACCUCCAUGACCCUGAGAACACAGAAGACGAGAUAAGCUGGCGAUGACACCGGCGGGAGGCAUGAGAAACCCUAGCCAAAGGGCCCUUUUUCUUUCACUGCGUUUAUCCUUGCUGCAUCCACACACCAAAUUCAAAAAAAUAAUAAUGAGAAUAGUCAUCAUAAUUUCAGUAUCCUGAACUUCUUUCAUUUGUAUUGUGGUAGCAUUUGCAGAUUCAAUUAAUGUUGACCAAAAACCAACAACAUGAUUGUUUAUUUUAGGAAAAAUGCAAACCUCAAGAUUUUGACAAAAAAAUCUAGAAAGGCAAUCAUUUUUAAAAUUAGGCCUAGUUAUAUAAUUUGUUUUCCUCGAAUUUUUGUCAAGUGAGCUAAUUUUCCGAAAGAAUCUUUUUUUAAUACAAAACUUUCAGAUUUGAUUGCCUUUCAUUGUAAAAGUUUUUUCAUCCAUGGUAAAAAAAAUGUUUUUCUUGGAGUGUUAUAUGAGUUUGACACCCAACCGAUGAAUAUCCAACUGGUAUAGUUUUUCCGGCAAUAUUCAGGGACCACAAAUAGUUUUUCCAUCUUGAAGAAACAUUUUCAUGUACUACUAGAGCAGCGUCAAUUAAUAUGGAUCGAAGGGAGUGGUAAAGUUUCAUCACAGUGUCCCUUUUUCUAAAAUAUAAGGUCGUGUAGGUGUAAAUAUUCAUGUUGUGAUGGGGAAUAUCUCAUAAAAUGUAUAUAUGGAUAGGAGGUGGGCAAGCCAUCCUUGGAGAGGACGUGGUGAGAGUUGUAUGUCUCGGUUGGAGGCUUCGGUGGCUUGAGGUCGGCAGGAGGUUGAGCUCAUCAUGACAGCGGGAAGACGAGCUUGUGUCAAGGCAGUGCGAGUUAGGCGGGAGGCCGAGCUUUUUACGAUGGCUGGACGAAGAGCUUGGCAUCAGGGCUACAUGACUAGGGUUUCGGCUACAAGGGAACCUUAAAUUAAACCGACAUCUUUCUUGGUGGCAUAUUUCGAUAAUUACGCGGAACUCCAUGAAUCGUAGUUACUUCGGGGGUCCUUCGAUCUUGAUUUAGCUCUCCGUCAUGAGUCAGCAAAGCUAAUAGUUGAACUAUUCUUGAACACGCUAUAUAUAUCUAGAUAUCCUUAGCAACUGACUGUUUUUGAAAAAAAAAUCUCUGGUUACUCAUAUCCUCGAGGAGGGUUUUCCGCAUUCUGGACAUUUGAGUGUUGAUAUUUUUACAAAUGUUGCACAUAUCUAAAAGUCCGAGGCAGUAUUUAGCAAUAUCUGAUUCCAAGGGUUCUUUAGGCCAAGCCGUCUGUUUUUUUGCCGGUAAAAUUUCCGAUCUAUUCAUCUUCAAUAAUGAUAGUACAACAAACACUAGAAAUAAUAAAAAUUACAUUCAGAUUCGUAGACCACCUAGCGACGACUACAAGCACUAAAGCGAGAGCCGUUGUCAUCGCUCCUCCCUCAUUGGAGCCGGGCAAACCUUGUUGUAGUAGACAGCCAAAAAGUCAUCGUGCUAAGGCCCAUAGAACCAACACGCCAAAACAACAACUGCCGCCGAUGAAGAGUGUAGAUCAGAAGGAUCCAAUCCGAAGACACAAUAACAUAAACGAACGAUGAACAGAUCCGAGCAAAUCCACCAAAUACAUAUUCGCCGGAGACACACCUCUACACGCCCACCGACGAUACUAGAUGCAUCAAGGGAACAAGGACUAGGUGGGGAGACAUUUAUUUCAUCUACAAGGAGUCGCCGCCGUCCGCCGUCGUCUCGCCUUACUGAGUAGGACACAAACCCUCACAAAACACAAAAAAAUAUCUAAAAACGGAGCCUCCCACCGGCAAUGCCCGGGAUCCACUCCGCCCCCAUGGCCCUAAGGCCACCGGAGACAGGGUGGACUGGCGCCGGCGCCGGCGGGAGGUGGAUGAACCCUAGCUUUUUGGAAAGCGGUGGCUGGCUAGGUCACAAUGAUCCCAAAGCUCGCCAAGCCGUUUUAAAAAAAGGCAACCUAUUAAGACCAAGUAGUCAACGCCAUAUAACCAAAUUUAUUCUCGGGCUCCCCCUCCAUCGCCUAUCAAAGCUUUCUUGUGUUUAUGCAAAAAAAAAAAGGUUUGACAAUUAUAGUUCCUUACAAAAUGAAAAAGGAAAUAAUAGUAGAAAUAGAAAAACUAGAAAUUAAAAUGCAUAAUUCACUAGAAAUCCAAUGGAUUUUUAUAAAUUAAAUUGAUUUAUUUUGUACAUUUUAGAAAAAUCUCAUAACACAUAUUUAUGGUCUAUGUUGUUAUCCUAUAUUUUAUUUUAUUUUUCUUAAAUAUUUUGAUCUAAAUAAUGAGCAAUAAUCUUUAGAAAAAAAAGAUUUAUGCCAAAUAAACCAAAAUUUUCAAGUGGGUCUUGAACCUAUUUUAUUCUUCUAAUUGUCCACUCCAUAUCAUCAUCAAAAUCACUUUUAGUGCAACAAUGGAUCAAUGCUAAACAUGGUUUUGGCACUUGGCGUUGAUCCGCUAAUAUAAAAUUAAGGGAUCAAACUUUGUCUCUGGUGAUUAUAAGCUAUUUUAUCUAUGCAUGGAGCAAAAACAACACUAUAAAACCUAACUUUUAAGUUACAUCACAUAUAUGAUGUGACAUGUAUAUCACCUUAGCAAUGUAUGUACCAUUUUUCAAAAAAUUCCACACAUAUAAAAAUAGAAUAUGAAACAUAAUCCUAAGGCAAGGGAUAGCACAUCAACAUCAUAACACCAUCCACAUUGUGCCAUUUUGACUCCUAGGUUUCUUGGAGCCUGGUAUUUUUGAAAAUAUGAUAUUUAUAUUUGCAAAACUCAAAUAUUAUAAAUUUGUUUUCCAUAUAGACGAGAACCUUGGCUCCUGGGUUUCUUGGAGCACAGUAGUUUUGUAAAUAUGAAAUUUAUAUUUGGAAAAAUUCAAAUAUUAUAAAUUAUUUUUCCGUAUAGACGAGAACCUUGGCGCGGACAUGCAACACCAGAGAUAUAUUUUCAUUGCUCUCUCCAGUUCUCGGUGCACAAGGAUCUAGAGCACACGAUGGUUCGACGGACAAAAUAUCACCUUUACCACAAGUCACAAUCGAGGAAGCAAAAACUUUGAUGGUAUGCCCACGAGUCACAAAUCAAAACCACCAGUGGCACAUGCUACAGUCACAUAUGCUAGUGAACUGAUUGAAGUGAAUCAGCAUGACUGGGACGCUCAGGCUGUAAGAGAGAACUUUCUACAGAUAGAUGCUGAAGCAAUCUUAAGGAUUCCCAUUAGUCCUGGAGAUGAUUUCUGGGCAUGGCAACCAGAUAAACAGGGCCAAUUCUCUGUGCGUUCGGCCUACAAACUGCUUACUGGUAAUCAAGAUAGAGAAGAGGUUGCAGUUAGUUCUAAUGGGUUCAAAACAGCUUGGAAAACCCUUUGGCAGCUGGAAGUACCUCCCAACGUCAGAUGUUUUUGGUGGCGGGUGAUAAAAGACUUCAUUCCCUGUUGGUCGAUUCUUCGAGAUCACCAUGUGGAACAAAUUCCUUUCUGUGACGACUGUGGUGGCGACGAGAACACACAACAUGCAUUAUUCAAGUGCACCUGGGCAUGCGCUUUCUGAAAUCAGAUGGAGCUUCGAACUGGAAUUAAAAUACCUAUACUUCAUCCGGAGUCUUGGGCGCUAGAUAUCAUUGAAGGAGACAUGGUCAGCCGGGGUGAGGCGUGUCUCAUCCUGUGCGGUGCAUGGGCUGUGUGGUCUCUGAAUGCAAUUCCCGUCGGCAUGGGGGACAGAACAGAAGCAUCAAUCAGUCAGUUUGUUGGGCCUAAGAGGAACAAACAUUGUAGGUACAGAUGAAUUUGUUCUAAGAAACCUACAAGAUGAACAAAAGUGAAUACAUUCUCCUUUCUGUAAACUAUAUAUAUUGGUCAUACAAGCGAGGAACUCAUUUUUUUUCCACCCAUUUUAGUAGCAUUUGACACAAUGAGAUGGCAUAAAUCAGUCAGUAGCAGUAACAGACUAACAGUAAAUUAUGUUGGUCAAAAUCCUUCAUUAAGAAAGCAUUCUUUUAUCAGCGAGUGCCCUAAAAAAAUCUAGAGUGCAGAAAAGAAUUCAUGUGCUCAUAUCUAUAUGUGCAGUUGUAAACUUUAAAGAUGAUGUGCCAAUAUGACAGAACUUGUCAAAUAUUCAGGUGGAAGGAGUGCGAGAAACAAAGAAUAAUUGCAAAGCAAUGUGUAAACUCACAAAGCAAUGUGUAAACUCACAUUCUCCACGAUGAUCCUUCACCACAAAGUUCAGUACGUGGAUGAUACAUCUCCCACUGUGUCAUUGCCUCCUCACGGCCAACAAACACAUCUCAGAAAGCAAGGGCGCUAUUUAUCUUCUCUUUCUCUAACAAUGCUAGUACGUAACUCGUGAGCCUUCUCCGCCUUCAAAGUCUCUCUCUAGAACUACCAUUUCAACUUUCAACAGGAACUCCUCACCCGUUACUAUAACUUCUCUGGUCAAAGUUUCAACUAGAGCAAUAGUUAGCCUCGCCUUCAAAAGCCUGGUGGGUACAACGUCCGUACCAUAUGUCCUCGUCGAUGGCAUAUGCACUAGAACCAUUGCCUUGUUGGUCGUAGGUAUAUCUCCUCUUUACGAGCAAUGAGGGAGUACUGUUGAGUGCACAGGCCUGCUGGUGCCUGGCCACAGCGACGUCCAGGUAGAAACUCAAGACAGGAGUUGGUGUUAUCGAAAAGGUGGUCCUGCCAGACGAAGAUGCUGAUCACUCAAGUCUGCCAUUGUCAUCACAAGGAAUGCCAUCGCUAUCCGCCUUAGCAGAGCCACCAGCCCUGCAGGUUAAAGAUUCACAUUAGUUUCAUAAUACCAGAAGUGAACCAUCUCUUUUGAAAUCAAGAUUCUCAUUCAGCCGGGAUUAAGGUACAGAAACUAGUUCACACAGAAAAGGAGAACUUUGUUCAGCUGCCAAUGCUGGUAAUUGAGUUCAGAACAGAUACCUUUAGUUUGCAUUAUGAUGACAAGUACUAGUAGUGAAGCAGUAAUCUUUAUAAAAUGCAAAUAUUUUGAUAAAAUAGGUGGCAGCAGAAAUAAACAAACUAAAUAGAAAACUUCCAUGCUUCCAGGAUUACAUAUCUUGCCAAGAUGCCACAUGCAUAAUGUUAGAAAUUCUAUCGGCAAGGUUAUAAAGAAAGCUCUGCCUUUCUUUUUCUGACGUGUACACGUUCUAACUGUAUUUUGUGCCUGAAACAAACUCAUGACGUUUUCCUAUUGUUCUGAAAAUGUGUCCCCUGCAUAGAUUAUAAAGUCAUGAAAUAUUCUUGUUAUUUCUAACUGUAGGAAAGCCUAAUCGUGAAUCUUGAAAUUUGUAAUGAUCUUCAAACUUUAAGAUAUUACCUCGCAGAUAACCUCAGUGAACUGCUAUAUAUCCAAUAUAAAGUAUACAGAGAAGAUAUUGGGCAAUUAACAGCAGAAUUGUGUAGACAGAAUCUUAAUGCGCAAUAAUCCAAAGCAGUCAUGAUAAACCGUAAACCAUUAAAUCCUCCAGUUUUUGAUUCUCCAAUAGCAGACAAACUUGGAGGAGAAAAUGAAUGAUUAAACCCCUCAGGGGGUUUAAUAAACUUUUGCUGCGAAGAAUGAAUUCCGGCAAAAUGUCUCAUCCUUUCCGCCAAUUGACUAUUGACCUUUGUGGGAUUGUUAUUAAUUGUUCAUCUCAUAAAGGGUGGGGUAUCAAAUCCCUAGAAACUAGGAAAGUCAGGCUUUACUUCAUUAUAUCUUAAUGAUAGUAUGUGCCAGCAUAGUAUGUGCAAGUAUGUGCCACGAUAUGGGAUAGCCACGAUGAAGGUGGGAUAAAUCAUGACCAUCUCUCGUGUUGACUAGAGUGGCAUCCUUCUCUUCAACAUACUCAACCAGCAUAACAAGCAUCUCCCCAGCAAUGCACAAAUAAUAAUAUCCCCCCAAAAAACUGAUGAGCAGGGGGCCCACCUCCGGUUCCAUUUUCAUUGAAAAAAAACAAAAAAUAUACAAAUAUAUAUCCUGCUGUAAGAAUACAAACCACCUACCACGAACACCCACAUAUGAAGAAAAUAUGAAACAAAGUCAUGAGUACAGAAGUUUUCCAAGAAGAAACCUCGUUUUUCUAUUAAGUGUGUGUUGUCUGAUGAAGAAUAAUGGGGGGAGCCAACUCAGUAACCUAGCGGAGGAACAGUCCAGACUUGAAUAGAGACCAGGUCAUGUAAAUCCAUUUUUUUCCAAGACAUGCAGAUUUAUAAAGAAGUACAGAAAAACAUAGAGAAAUGUGUGUUGAUGCCUUUGAGUAAAAGAUCUUGUCUAAGAAAUAAUAAAAAUCCAUGAGCCAUUCUAGAAAGUAUGAUAAAAAAAAAAGCAAUUGCAAUAACUAUAGCCUUGCACUCUAUGACCAAACAUAUAAACAUCUUCAUCUCACUAAUAUUGCAGUCUAGUACUAUAUGCACCUUUGGCAAAAAUAUGCAAGAAACAAUGAACAAAUAGCUGACAGUUUUAUGAAGCUACUGAAGCAAUUAAAACCUCUUUGAGGUCUUCAUACAGUCAUGCAGAUCACAUCUUCUCAGUCAGUCAGUUCCCUCAACUUAUAGCUCAAGAUUUCACUAACAUAAUAACAUUGAUUGCUAAAUAAAUGCAAUAAAAUCAGCACUUGACAUGUAGCACUAAUUAAAUUCAAAGAUAAAUUAAGACAUAUCAGCAAGCCAGCAUACAGAAAGCCAUGAUCAUCUCUUGAGAGACAAGAACCACUAGCUCUAGACAUGUCUCAUCACCUCUUUUUGAAGAUGAGAAUUCAGAUAUUGGAUCAAAGCUGGGAGAGCAAACUGUACAAGUUUUUAAAUGGAAACACUAAGAUAUUGUCUGCAGAUGCAUUUUUGAGCAAAUUACAAGAUGCCACAUAGCUGAAGCUGCAAGAAAUUAGAGGUUCAUUACAAACAUAAUCCAAUCACUCGCUUACGAUGCACCAAACCAGCUACUAAAUAAUGGCAUAAGACAACACGGGGACCUGUCAAGCUUACUGACAAAAGCCAAUAACAAUAUGAUAAAACAAGAACCACUGCACCAAACCAGCUACUAAAUAAUGGCAUAAUUCAUCAAGAGACCACUGUCGCCUCCAAGUUGGUCAUCUUUUGUGAUGAUGAGAGUCGCCUCCUGGCUUAAACAUACUCAACCAUAUGUUGUCAAUUCACCGCAUCACUGUGCAAACAUAGAAUUUUCAGUGUGAAUACAACAUAAAUUGCCAAUUAAAUAAGCACAAUUCGAGUGUUACAUACCACUCAGUUUGUUAGGAUGCAUUUCAAAU